GUACCGUCAUUAUCUUCCCUAGCGAAAGAGUUUUACAACCCUAAGGCCUUCUUCACUCACGCGGCAUUGCUGUAUCAGACUUGCGUCCAUUGUACAAUAUUCCCCA
rnacentral:rRNA from 1 species